ACACGGUGGCAGAGAUUGUCUCGUGUUGUCCGCCGGAGGUGGUGCCGUACUCCUCGUGAGCACGGACCAGUGGCGGUUGGGCCGGAGCCACAAGGCGACAGCGGAAGGUGAGUCGACUUGGGCCUGUCUCACGUCGACAGCUUACAGCCCUGUCGUACGGUGCUCCGACCGGACCGAGGAAGCAGGGCAGCCCUUGCCCGUGGCGGUGCACGCCGAAUGGCGGGGCCUCCCGACACGAGUGAACCGUGCGGUGUGGACUGCUUGCAGUGCAUGCCGUGGCGGCGAUCUCGUGCUGGAGAGUGCCACCUGUGCACCAGUGCUGCUGGUAUUCAGAC
rnacentral:misc_RNA from 1 species